rnacentral:rRNA from 1 species
CGUGUCGUGAGAUGUUGGGUUAAGUCCCGCAACGAGCGCACCCCUUGCCAGUAGUUGCUACAUUCAGUUGGGCACUCUAACGGGACUGCCGGUGACAAACCGGAGGAAGGUGGGGAUGACGUCAAGUCCUCAUGGCCCUUAUGGGAAGGGCUUCCCACGUAAUACAAUGGUAGGUACAGAGGGCAGCCAACCCGCGAGGGGGAGCUAAUCCCAGAAAGCCUAUCCUAGUCCGGAUUGUAGUCUGCAACUCGACUCCAUGAAGCCGGAAUCGUUAGUAAUCGCGGAUCAGCAUGUCGCGGUGAAUACGUUCCCGGGUCUU